rnacentral:lncRNA from 1 species
ACAUCUCUGCUGUAGGUUCCUCAGAAGUUUUGCAGGGAAGCCAUCCAGAGAGGUUUCUGGUUACAUACUUCUCUGAGCAAGGCUUAACAUUUGCAGUGAACUCAAAAAGUGUGAAAAGACAUUACUCAAGGAUUUAAUAGGUCUCAGCCCAACACAAUGAAGGAUUUUGGUGUAUCAAUAUUAAGCAAUAUCAGAGGCAGGAAGCUGUAACAUCAAGUUUUUUGUAUUUGCAACUGUGUAUAAUAUCUCAUUGAGCUUUGGUUUUAGUUACAGGGUAUAUUUGCAACAUUGGGUAAAAGUUAAGAUGUCACUUCUAAAAUGCUAAGAUUUUUGUCUUUGGAAUAUGGAAUAUGCCAAAGGAAUGAUAACAUCUCAUCUCACCUCAACUGAAAAGAUCAGAAAUCACUUUGUUUCAAGCUCAAUGAAGCUGGAAUAUUUCAACAAUAUUCUAGAAAGAUUUGAAAGGCACAUUUGGAGCCCAGUCUUGUGAACAAGACGUUGAUCAAGCAGGAUCAAUUGACUUGCUUUUUAAAAGGAGAGUUGAGGGUCACCAUACUUUUUCCAAUAUUAAAGUAAUUUAAGUAAACAUUUGUUCCAUUCACCAAAUGCAAAGGUUCACCAAAUGUAGCCAAUGACCAUCCACUGCAGUUUUUCUGGCUACUAAAAUAUUACAUGUGAACCUCCUUGACAUUUUCCGUCAUCAUCCUGGCUGUGUAAUCUUGUGAAACUAAUGACUUGCAUUUCUUCAACACUCCCCCCCCCUUCACUUCGCCGAUGUAGAGUGUGUUAUUAAUGGUGUGAGUUGAAACAUAUGGAGUGGGACUACUUUGCCAGUGAUGCACUUGGGAGUGUGAAAAAAAAUGCUUAUUUAUGAACUGAGCGAUGAUUCUUUCCACCUCUCUCUGUCAAGUGUACUGGCUGUUGCAAAUGACCUGUUUUCAGCACUGUUUUCAUUGGAUGAUUGUUGGGCAUGUGUAACUAAGGCCUGGGUUCAUCGUGGUCAAGGCCGUGUCCAAUGAGCAACUGUUUGUUCAGUCAAUCCAUACAGUAUGGCUCCCAGGAUGCAACCCAAGAACGUGUAGCCUGGAAAAAGAGGCAGAGAAUGCCUAGAAGAACUGUGACACGGCAGAAGUGGGCCUGUUGUCUGCUCAGUUCAACGACAAACCCUCAACCUGAUGUGCACUUAGUGGUCAUGCUCUGGUUAGUUUCCUGAAGAGUUGGGGACGACUGCGGCAUUGUCCAGAUUGGUUUGGGUUACAUCAAGGAAAGGACUAACAAUGUGAAAUACCGAAGGCUGUUAACAGGUGUGGAAAGAGCUACUUUGAACCCCCAAUCCACCCUUGCUGUAUCCCAACACUAUCAUACUUGCAAGUUUGUUCACUGACAUCUCAUCACCCCAGAACAGCUGUUGAUAUUGGUUCCUGCAGUGCCCACAGUAAGCCAGGUAUAGUUCAGGGCCAAGUGUAUUAUGGUUGCACUAAAGUGUGAAUUUAGCCACCUUCCCCCAAAGGUACAGUUUUUGGUUUUUUUUUUCUUGCACAAAAACCUGAUUAUACCGUGGACCCUUAUAGCUCUGCAUCUCAAUGAGUUUUCCUACUGCACUACCUGGUGUACCAUAAAUAUUACCUUGCAAGUUUGAUGUGGUAUCUGAAAUUUCUGAAUUUUAUAGCAAGAUUUUAAGAAUUCAUUUUGAUUUUUUUUCAGGCAGAAUCCAAUGCAUAAGAUUAAGCCAGUCAUGAGAAAAGCAUGACGUAUAAUUAUCAUGGUCAGUGGAGGAUUACAGUGAACGGCAGAUAAUAUUAUUGUUUGGUUUGGAGCUGACGUAUACUCAAAUAUGUUGGUUGACUGAUUUGUUCAUCUGUCAGUUCAUAUGCAUUGCUGUUUUGUUGGUGUGUUUGGUUAGUUGAUGAGUGGGGGGAUUGGCACCCAAUAGUUCAUCAGGCAAUCGGUUCAUUAGUCAGCUCUGGGAUCAGUUACACAGGGUGGUCAUCUUGUUCUUUGCUCAGUCAGCCAUGUAAUCAGUCACGUGAGAUGCU